GAUCAAGUGUCUUAAGGGCAAUUGGUGGAUGCCUUGGCAUGCACAGGCGAUGAAGGACGUGAUACGCUGCGAUAAGCUACGGGGAGGUGCGAAUACCCUUUGAUCCGUAGAUUUCCGAAUGGGGAAACCCACCUAAGGUACUUGGAAAAUCAGAGCAGCAGGGCAACUUGCUGCUGUGGUUUCCAAGUAUCGAUAUUAGGUAACUUACCCUGAAUACAUAGGGGUAAAGUGGCGAACGCGGGGAACUGAAACAUCUAAGUACCCGUAGGAAAGGACAUCAACCGAGACUCCGCUAGUAGUGGCGAGCGAACGCGGACCAGGCCAGUGGCUUAUGUGAGACAAGCAGAACCUUCUGGAAAGGAGGGCCGUAGUGGGUGACAGCCCCGUAUGCGUAAUGCGAACAUAAGUCCUUGAGUAGGGCGGGACACGUGAAAUCCUGUCUGAACAUGGGGAGACCACUCUCCAAGCCUAAGUACUCGUGCAUGACCGAUAGCGAACUAGUACCGUGAGGGAAAGGUGAAAAGCACCCCGACAAGGGGAGUGAAAGAGUACCUGAAACCGAUUGCCUACAAACAGUAGGAGCCCAAGGUUCGUCCUGGGUGACUACGUACCUUUUGUAUAAUGGGUCAGCGACUUAGUGUGACGAGCAAGCUUAAGCCGGUAGGUGUAGGCGCAGCGAAAGCGAGUCUGAACAGGGCGUUCAGUUCGUCGCAUUAGACCCGAAACCGAGUGAUCUAGCCAUGAGCAGGUUGAAGGUAAGGUAACACUUACUGGAGGACCGAACCCGUAUCUGUUGCAAUAGAUUGGGAUGACUUGUGGCUAGGGGUGAAAGGCCAAUCAAACUCGGAAAUAGCUGGUUCUCCGCGAAAUCUAUUUAGGUAGAGCGUCGACCGAAUACCCCCGGGGGUAGAGCACUGGAUGGGCUAUGGGGACUCACCGUCUUACUGAUCCUAACCAAACUCCGAAUACCGGGGAGUACUAGUCGGCAGACACACGGCGGGUGCUAACGUCCGUCGUGGAAAGGGAAACAACCCUGACCUACAGCUAAGGUCCCCAAGUCAUGGCUAAGUGGGAAAGGAUGUGAGGAUCCCAAAACAACCAGGAUGUUGGCUUAGAAGCAGCCAUCAUUUAAAGAAAGCGUAACAGUUUCNNNNNNNNNNNNNNNNNNNNNNNNNNNNNNNNNNNNNNNNNNNNNNNNNNNNNNNNNNNNNNNNNNNNNNNNNNNNNNNNNNNNNNNNNNNNNNGUUCACUGGUCUAAAUAAGGGUCUUUGCGCCGAAAAUGUAACGGGGCUAAAGCCAUGCACCGAAGCUUAGGGUUCGUCGUAAGACGAGCGGUAGCGGAGCGUUCUGUAAGCUGAUGAAGCCGUACCCGUGAGGGGCGGUGGAGGUAUCAGAAGUGCGAAUGCUGACAUGAGUAACGUAAGGGGUGUGAGAGACACCCCCGCCGAAAGUCCAAGGGUUCCUGCUUAAAGUUAAUCUGAGCAGGGUUAGCCGGCCCCUAAGGCGAGGCCGAAAGGCGUAGUCGAUGGGAAUCACGUUAAUAUUCGUGAGCCUGGAGGUAGUGACGGAUCGCGUGUAUUGUCAGGUCUUAUUGGAUUGAUCUGGCAGUGAAGCGGUCCCGGGAAAUAGCUCCUCCUUAUAGCCCGUACCCGAAACCGACACUGGUGGACUGGUAGAGUAUACCAAGGCGCUUGAGAGAACUAUGCUGAAGGAACUCGGCAAAUUGCACGCGUAACUUCGGAAGAAGCGUGACCCUUGUCUGCGCAAGCAGGUGAGGGUGGCACAGACCAGGGGGUAGCGACUGUUUAUCAAAAACACAGGGCUCUGCGAAGCCGCAAGGCGACGUAUAGGGUCUGACGCCUGCCCGGUGCUGGAAGGUUAAGAGGAGAGGUGCAAGCUUUGAAUCGAAGCCCCAGUAAACGGCGGCCGUAACUAUAACGGUCCUAAGGUAGCGAAAUUCCUUGUCGGGUAAGUUCCGACCUGCACGAAUGGCGUAACGACUUCCCCGCUGUCUCCAGCAUAGACUCAGUGAAAUUGAAUUCCCCGUGAAGAUGCGGGGUUCCUGCGGUUAGACGGAAAGACCCCGUGCACCUUUACUAUAGCUUUACAUUGGCAUUCGUAGUGACAUGUGUAGGAUAGGUGGUAGGCUUUGAAGCCAGGGCGCCAGCCUUGGUGGAGCCACCCUUGAAAUACCACCCUUAUUACUAUGGAUGUCUAACCGCGACCCGUUAUCCGGGCCCGGGACAAUGUAUGGUGGGUAGUUUGACUGGGGCGGUCGCCUCCUAAAGAGUAACGGAGGCGCGCGAUGGUGGGCUCAGACCGGUCGGAAAUCGGUCGUCGAGUGCAAUGGCAUAAGCCUGCCUGACUGCGAGACUGACAAGUCGAGCAGAGACGAAAGUCGGUCAUAGUGAUCCGGUGGUCCCGUGUGGAAGGGCCAUCGCUCAACGGAUAAAAGGUACGCCGGGGAUAACAGGCUGAUGACCCCCAAGAGUCCAUAUCGACGGGGUUGUUUGGCACCUCGAUGUCGACUCAUCGCAUCCUGGGGCUGGAGCAGGUCCCAAGGGUAUGGCUGUUCGCCAUUUAAAGCGGUACGUGAGUUGGGUUCAGAACGUCGUGAGACAGUUCGGUCCCUAUCUGCCGUGGGUGUAGGAAUAUUGACAGGAUCUGUCCCUAGUACGAGAGGACCGGGAUGGACGUAUCUCUGGUGGACCUGUUGUGGCGCCAGCCGCAUAGCAGGGUAGCUAUAUACGGACGGGAUAACCGCUGAAGGCAUCUAAGCGGGAAACCCACCUGGAAACGAGUAUUCCCUGAGAACCGUGGAAGACGACCACGUUGAUAGGCCGGGUGUGGAAGAGCGGCAACGCUUGAAGCUUACCGGUACUAAUAGUUCGAUAGGCUUGAUCGU
rnacentral:rRNA from 1 species